rnacentral:rRNA from 1 species
UAUGUGAUCGUCUCUCGCAUAUCAAUAAGCGGGGAAAAGAAACUAACAAGGAUUCCCCUAGUAACGGCGAGUGAAGCGGGAAGAGCUCAAAUUUGAAAUCUUAAAGGGUUUCCCUUUACGAAUUGUAGUUUAAAGAAGUGUUUUCUGUUGAGGUUUUGGUAAAAGUUCUUUGGAAUAGGACAUCAUAGAGGGUGAGAAUCCCGUAUUUGACCUUUACUUUCAACUUUGUGAUACACUUUCAAAGAGUCGGAUUGUUUGGGAAUGCAGUCCAAAAUGGGUGGUAAAUUUCAUCUAAAGCUAAAUAUUGGCGAGAGACCGAUAGCGAACAAGUACCGUGAGGGAAAGAUGAAAAGAACUUUGAAAAGAGAGUUAAACAGUACGUGAAAUUGUCAAAAGGGAAGCGUUUGACACCAGUGUUGUUUUUCUGAAAAUCAAUUAAAGAACUGUUUAUGCUAAGCUGUUUAGACUUUAUCAGCUAUCUGUUUAGUUUUGAGCUUUUCUUUAAUGCACUUUUCAGUUAACAAGUCAACAUCAAUUUCUUUUGCUGUAAAGAAGCUUGAGGAAGGUGGCUUGAGAUUCGUCUUAAGUGUUUAUAGCCUCUUGCCUAUGCAGUCGGAGAGAUUGAGGUCUGCAGCGUAGAUCCUUCGGGGCUAAAUGCAUUUGUGCUAAGUUAUAGCAUUUUAUAGACAACUUGUUGACUAUGAUUUGUCUUGUAGCUUACUCGCUUAUGUUAUUUUACCUACGCUUAGGAUGUUGAAGAUAUGCGCGACACG